rnacentral:rRNA from 1 species
UACGUGGGGUGCGAGCGUUGUCCGGAAUCAUUGGGCGUAAAGGGCGCGUAGGUGGCCCGGUCAGUCUUUGGUGAAAGCGCGGGGCUCAACCCUGCGUCGGCCAGGGAUACUGCCGCGGCUCGAGCACUGUAGAGGCAGGCGGAAUUCCGGGUGUAGCGGUGGAAUGCGUAGAGAUCCGGAAGAACACCGGUGGCGAAGGCGGCCUGCUGGGCAGUUUAGCUGACACUGAGGCGCGACAGCGUGGGGAGCAAACAGG